UGAUUACUAAUCCAAUAAGGCAUAUCUCCAAUCUUGUGAUGUGUAUUUUGCUCAACCCAUUUUCCAGUAUUCAUCUGGAACAGUAGUAGUUUUGUCAUUUUUUGAAUCACAGUUUGAUGUAAGGUCAGCAAGACACAUCCAUUUUUCUCUCUCACCAGUUUGUCUCUCAUUUACAUCAUCUUCAUUUAAAAUAGUCUGUUUAAUGUGUUGUGAAAUGAAAUCUAGCUGAAUAGACCAAUUUGGAACGAGUAUUUUUGCUUCAGUUUUCUUUACAAAAGAAUGCUACUCCUGAAUGUAAACAGAAUCAGACCCAUCUUGGUCUCCCCAAGAAUUGUUCAUGAAAGUAUGCCAAGGUUUAUGCUUCAGUAACUGGUUUUUACAGAACAAAUCAUAUGAAGGUCUUUUUGGAUUUGAUGGAUAACUUGGAGGCAUAUUUGGCAAUUUACUCUAAGCAAGAAUGGUAGUCUAUAAUGACCUGUAUGUUGCAGUUUGCUCUCCAACCUUGUAACUGGAAGCGCUGAUGAUUACUGAGAUGAGUAUCAUUUCGUUUUGUGAGUUCUUUUACCGUGUGUUUCAUUGUUUCAUCUUUAGUGUGAAUUUCUUUAAAUUCUAAAUGAGUUUUUUCACAGCAAUCUUUUGGAAAGCCAAAUCUACAAGAGUAUGUGUCACUCUGUUGUUUCUUAUGAGUACAAUAAGCAGUUGAACAUUGUGUAUGCCUUUGAAUUAAAUUUAGAAAGUUUUUAUAAUCUUCAUCCAGUUCUUCCUGUUAGACAUCUUCAUGAUGCUUUUUGCAUAGAGGAAGUGUUGGCUUUAUCCAAUCAGUAUGAUCAGGAUUAUGAGGAUGCUGGGUUGACAUAAGCUCUGUAGAGGUGCUACUCAGUGCUAUUGUACUGUAAGGGAAGAACUGCUGUCCUGUAAGCGUGAAGUUUUACCUUGGUUGGUGUUAAUUUCUGUGGUCUCAUCAGCACCCUUAUCAUUCUGCUGGUAUCCUUGCUGUUGGUAGCAAUCUGGUCUGAGAAGUUGAGUCCGCUGUCCAGUGUUGUUCCAAGGAGCUCUAGGUUCUGCAUGGAGUAUAGUUUUAUUAUGAAUUUCCACUUUGAUUGCUAUCUCUUGACAUUACCAUUACUUGGUAUUUUCUGAGGUUGGCUUGAAGAUGGUUGACCCUAUAUCAAGUAGCAGUAGUUUUGCUGUUUUUACCUGGCUCUUGUACUGUAGGUUAAGCAUUGAACAGAGUCCUUGCCAAUUGAGAGGGUGACUAUUGAGGAAAUUUUAACUUCUGCAAUAGGUGACAAUGAUAUCGUGAUAGUAUUGUGAUAGUGGAGGUAGCCUUGCAGAAGUAUUGCAAUAGUUCUGAUAUUUUAUAUUUAAAACAAAUACUAAAAGAAUUAGAAAAACUAAGAAGUAAGAAUUAGUUGUCAUAUAACGUACUGUAUGACAACUAACUCUUCUUAGUUAUCCUUAUUCGGAUACUGUGAAACACAAUGCAGUGGAAUUUAAUCCGUUUAUUGAGAAACUAAAUACAAUAAAAUGUUUAAAAGACA